ensembl:lncRNA
AUGUGCUCAGUUAAGUUUUAUUCGUGCUUCUUACAUUCUCUGUGUGUCUUCCCUUCCUCUUCUACCCUUCUCUCCCCAGAUUUGUGGACCAGAGAAGUGUCAGAUUUAUGUUUCUGGCCCCAACCUGGUAUUGCUCCACUGCUGGGAAUAUGCUUCUAUCCUUUGAAAACACUAAGAAUAAUGUCCCUGCAUCAGUUUUUACUGGAGCCAAUCACCUGUCAUGCCUGGAACAGGGAUCGUACCCGUAAGUAUGCCAAGUAUCGACUUGGCUCCUUUAUCUCAGUACCACUGAGUCUCUUAGAUGUUGGCAUUUUUAAGAAUCACAUAUUUCAGUGUCAUAUGUAAACAGGGACAUAGCUUCAGAGAACUAGGUCAGUCAGCUGGGAUUUUGAUAAGGAUUACUUUGAAUCUGUAGCUUCACUAUCUCUUUUAAAGCAAUUCAGACUUGGUUUACUUUUUUUUUUUUUUUUAAUGAAUUUAUUUGUUUGUCUGGGCAUGUGGGAUCUUUAGUUGCCACAUGUGGGAUCUAGUUCCUUGAUCAGGCAUCGAACCAGGGGGACCUGCACUGAGAGCACAGUCUUAGCCACUGGACCACCAGGGAAGUCCCAGUUUGCUCUUAUUUUUGAAUAAAUCUUUGGCACAUAAACAGUAUACUUAAGGUUGUUGUUGAAUAAAGUGAAAACCUAGAUAUGGGCCUCUAUGUGGAUAUUUCAGAGAAGGUGAUGGCACCCUACUCCAGUACUCUUUCCUGGAAAAUCCCAUGGACGGAGGAGCCUGGUAGGCUGCAGUCCAUGGGGUCGCUAAGAGUCAGACAUGACUGAGUGACUUCACUUUCACUUUUCACUUUGAUGCAUUGGAGAAGGAAAUGGCAACCCACUGCAGUGUUCUUGCCUGGAGAAUCCCAGGGGCAGGGGAGUCUGGUGGGCUGCCGUCUCUGGGGUCGCACAGAGUCGGACACGACUGAGGUGACUUAGCAGCAGCAGCAGCAGCAGAUGGAUAUUUGAACCAUGGCAGAAUGGUGAAUCCAGAGCUUCUACUUUGUGAUCACGUCCUAAAGCUUCAUAGCUUAGUUUCCUAUAAUUCUGUCUCUACUGUCCCAUCUAAAAAUAGGGUUUUAGAAUAUUUCCAAUUAUGUUUAAUAGAAACAUAAGUUAUAAUUUUUCUCAUUUAAACUAGUCGAUAUACUCAGUAUCUUAAAAGUCACAUUUUUUUGUUAGGCCACAUUCUAAUCUGAAACAUAGUUUUCAGGUUUAAAUUUAGAUUUGGAUUUUGAAAUCCCUACACACAUCUUGGAGAUUUAAAGAAAUAUGUAACUGGUUUCCAGAAAGCACUUAAAGUCUUAGAAUUUUAGAGCUAGGUAUUUAUUCCGUAGUUUUAUCUUUAAACAGAUGUGGCUUUCCUAAGGAGUGAAGAAAAGGGGAUAUGAUAGAUGAGGGAGCUGUUAAAUGAUUGACCUAAAGUUUGGGUCAUAGACUUUAAUUUUAAGAAAUCAAUUUUUAUUUUUUAAAAAUGUAUGAACUAGAAAGGAGAAAAAUAUCAUGUAAGUUCAAAAAGUCCAUUAUAUAUGUAUAUUCUUAAUAUUUUAGAUUGGUUAAAGAGAUUUCUCUUAAAAACAGAUUUGUAUUUUGUGAUUUAUAUUGGCUUUAUUGUAAAGAAAAACUUCAAUUUAUUUUAUCAGUAGAAUCAAAGGUAUUUUUCCUUAGUAAACGAGUGGUUCCUAUUUCGGUUCAUGAUAGCAAUAAUAAGAACCUACAAGCUAUUUGUGGUGUUUCAGAAAGUCUACAGAAAUUAAAUAUUUAUCAUUCGUAACAUCAGACAGUAAACUAAAACGUCAAAUAUUUUACUGUGGCCCAAAAUCAUGUCAGUUAAGUAUAGCUGUGUUGUUUGUUUGUUACUGGUUAGAAUCCUUAAUUGAUGGUUGUGUAUGUUUCUAAUAAAAUGAAAUUUUUAGUUUCUCUUUAAAACGCUUUAAAAUAUGGGCUCCAAGUAGAGGUAAAAAUAAUAAAGGAAUUCUUUAGGAGCCAAAAUUGGAAACCAUUUUCUAGAAUUGCCUUCCUGUUCCUUCCUUCAAUCUGUUUUUAAAAUGCUCACUGUAGGAAUUCCCUGGUGGUCUAGUGGUCAUGCUCCAAUUCAGGAGGUGCAGAUUCAGUCCCUUCGGGAAACUAAGAUCCCACAUGCUGCCUGACAUGCCACCCAGCGAGGCCAAAAAAAAUUUCUUUUAAUAAGUAAAUAGAUAAGUAAAAUAUCCACUGUGGGAAUUCCCUGGUCAUGUAGUGGUUAGUACUCGAUGCUUUCACUCCCAAGACCUGGGUUCAAUCCCUGGUCAGGGAACUAAGAUCCCCACGAGCCAUGCGGCACAGCCUGAAAAAAAAAAAAAAAAAAGCCCGCUGUA